UUGAAAAAAUGUAUAAAUUUUACAGAUUCAACAUUUAUUUAUAUUUUUCGUGUCACGAUUUUUCCGUCCUUUCUAAAGACGACUUGCUGUCCGAGUUUCAAAACGACCCACGUGAAGAUCACUACUUCGAACUGACAUGUUUAUUUUUUUAAAUGAUCAUCUUACUCGUUCGCAAGGACAAAAUGUAUAACAUAAACAAAGCAAAUAUUGAUUUUUAAGAUCGUUCUAGAUUCAUCGAGAUUUAAUUUAGUCGGAUAUAAUUUAGUGAAAUUUCGAUUCGAUAGGAUUCCAUAUGGAAUAAAAUCAACAGUCUUUUGUUUCCCCUAUUAGUGUCACUAUACAUAAUGAUCAUUUCUCUACUAAUAUCAGUGUAAUCGUAGUUUUGUGUUCAUUAAGUAACAUUAAAAAUUUUUGAAAAGUGGAUAGGAUUGGAAAUUAAGGAAGGACUCUAGUGCAAUGUAUGUUUCCAUUUUACCGGCUAUUCGAAGCAGUUAGUGUUCCGUUGACUCUAGUAGUGUACGCACGUGUCGUUCCGUGAUCUGCGUUAGUUUGCGCGACCCGCGAAUUUCCCUCGUCCCCGGUAAGUGAAAGAUCAGUGACACCCGAGUCGACGUAACUAUCUGCACCGGUCGUAUUCUUUAUUUGCAAAUUAAGCGACAAGUGUUCCAUAACUUCGUCGUGAUCGGCUGCACGCGGUUUUUGCAUCGCUCGUGGAAUGCGCGCGUCCGUGAUCGCAGAGAAGCAUAGAAACGAAUCGUUUCAACCGGUACCGCUCUGGAUCUCGGUGUCUCUACCGUCUACAGGAAACGAGAAGAAUAUCGAAACCAGAAAUCCAUCGAGAACAUUCGAAGAAAGCGAAACGGAAGAGGAGCGCAACGGCUUCGAGUGAGGAGUCUGGAAUGCAUUUGGAGCAACGAAGAAGGGACGCGAUGCUGUUCGGAUAUCGACAUAUUCGGCUGAAGGUUCGAGUUGCCCGGGGAAAGAACAACUGCCGAAGAUCCUUUCCCGAGGCCUGAGUCACUCUUCGGGGACGCCGGGAAGUGUACACACCGCGAUACUUCGACAGGCAAACGCGGCGGUUUCGCCUGAGUGGUUUCGAGUUGCCUACACACACUCGGCGAGUCGCGGAAACUUUCCGACAACAUUGGGCCGACCGGAGCCCUGCGCCGAGGCUCGGCGACCUCGCGAACGUAAUCCCAUCGAAUCCUCGCGAAUUCGAUACAACGAGCUUCCAACCAGUUGUGGAUGGAACGAACACGAUCGAAGAUUUUCACGCGUCGCGUCUUUCUCUGCCGAGUUGGAGGGACGGAAAUUUCGAUGGAUUUACCAACAGAAACGUAUCAGGGUGGUUUCUAUCUUCGAGCUAGAUCGAGGUUUGUGUAUCACUGGAAUCAAUUGAGCGUGUAGAGAAUUGACAGUUUAAACGAGAUCGAGACGCACACUGAAUUACCCUGUAAUAGGGUGUUCAGCGGGGCUGCGAGGGAAGCUGUGGCAUCGAGACGAUAGAAACUGGAACGAUGAAAUUUCACUACACAAGGAUUGAGUGGUUUCGAACGGUGAUUCGACGCUUUUAGUUUCCUCAACGACCCCGUUUUUCAGGUGGCCCCUUUCUCGGUUAUUUUCUUCUUUUCAGAGGAGUCCGGGAUACUUUUAAGACGGCGAGAACGACUCUGGGCUUCGGGAUCCUAGCUAAUUCGGGUCUGCGGAAAGAGACUCCACUGGAACCAACGGAUUUACUUCGUUCCCCCGGAACCUCCCAGCACGGGAAUCGAUUUUCAUAUUCGCGGCUUUUAAUUACCGGUUGCCUGCAACCGCCCACGCCCCGGCCGCCGCCGCCCGCCGCCGCCCGCCGCUCGACCUUUCUCUCGCCGAAGGAGUUUCAUCCGUGGAAAGCCGAGAGAGCCUAGACGUCUGCGAAAAUACGAUGAUUUCGCACCUUUGAGACGUCGCCGACCAGCCCGGUGGCAACGUGGAAACGGAAGAGCCACAUGACCGAGAACGCUGCAAUUUUCCCUUCUGUUUCACUGGAACCUCUGUCCGCGGAGGAACGCGUGACGUCACGGUUUUACAGAUCAUUCGGCUGGUCCUUCCGGACGUUUCUGUCACGUACACUCUUCUGAUCCGUCGCUGACACUCCGGCGCGGUCGGGGCGAGGGUGGACGGAAUAAUUUCGGCUCGUGUAUCUCGACCGAUACAAGAACACAAGCUGGCACGAGGAAACAGCCGGAUUAUGCGCUGCAAGAGCCGGAUGUGUCAUCGUGUAUGCCUCCGCCUCGGACCCAUGUAUCUCGGGCAUUGUCGUUCGCAAUUUCAGUCCGCAUUCGGCCCGGUACACCCGACGCGACGGGUCACGGAACUUUCGGUCGUUUUUCGAGAUAACGCCUACCAACUUUCGGAGAAGCUGGAACUCGAGAACAAACGGGCAGCAUCGAUUCUGUUGUGGAUACGUGAUAGCACAAUUAUAGCGGCACUAACAAUUCUCACGUUUCUGCAGUUCGAGGAAAUAAUUGGACAAAAGGAAUUAGGGUGACGUCACAGGAGAAGGCAGAACAGAAUUGCAAUCGGCAUUUUUCAUUCGUAAUUUGAGUUCUUGUUAGUUACUUGAUAGCAACGUUUAGAUACAAGUAUUUAGAAUAUCAGAAAUGAUAAAUUCAAGUGGCGCUAUGAUGAAAUUAGUUAACCAGUGAACUGUGUUUGACGUAAAGCUUGACACGAUACAGAUAUGACAGAUGUUAUUCUUCUUUAUUUCGCGCAGAACGAGAGGCUUUUCCAACUAAAUUCCACAGUUAACUGGUUAAACACUCUCGCAAGAUGACUGGUAGUCGAGAACGCAGUGCGAUGCAUAGCCAAUGCGUCGCCGCGGCGCGAGUUUCCCGAGGCGUAGAUCGUAGAAGACAGGAUCAAAGAGUUAUCGAAGAUCCGGCGAUAUUUCACGAAUUCGGAGGAGCAGGAUUUCGCGAAAUUUUUCGAAAGCCAUGCAAAUAACGUGCGAGCCAAUUGGACGGUUCGCACGCGAAAGUUGCCGGGAAGUUCGCGGCGGAGAGAAUACGGAAUAUUCAUCGCUGGUUGACGGCAUUGUUCCGCGGGUGUAUUGUUCCGUGCAAUUUUCCUUUGACUUUCGAAUAAAGUACUCGCGAAGUAGCUCGGACUGGCGUGCACCGCCGCCGCCGCCGCCGCCGCCGGGAACGGGUCGAGAAAAAUACCGAUGAUGCAUGCUUGCGAACUUCCCUAGGCACAUAUCUCGUAUCCGGGCCAGUCCGCGGCUAGACUGAUGGCUCGCCGCUCGUAUUAGCUCCCUUCCGGCGACACAGAAGCUUUCUCAAUUUUCCUUGAAUCGAUACGGUUAGGCAGUUCGUGGGAGCGCGGGUUCAAUAUUUACUUAUUUCCCCGGAAGUUUGUGCAUAAUUCACCGCGCCCCUCUGCGCUCGGUCGUGCAGAGAUGGCCCACUUUUUUAAAAGAGCUAUUACAUCAUAAAUAUCCUUGAGAUCUAACGACAAGAAUGUAUGGAAGUACAUACGAAGGAGUGUAGUUAACACUAGAACUACAGUCGAAAAGUUCCUGUUUUCUUGUUUCGUUAUUAUUGAUAUCUUCGAAGCAUUUAAUUGGUAUUUAUUCGCAAAAUCGUUUCACACUUCUCGACGUGGAAACGGCAAGGCGGCGAUAUGCAGCCAGAGAACACAUAGUUCGAUCGGUUUUUUGGUCGCGAACAUAACCGGGCCUGAUCGAGUCGAAUACCGCAGCGUGAACCGUGUUUCUCUCGGCGUAAUACGGCUAGUUAACCGCUCGGAUCAAGAUCUCGCGCGAGAAACGAAGCGACGCGUUACAAGUCUCGAAACAAGAGUCGCGACGGCUCUCGUCGAUACGCGUCGUUGCGCCGGAAACCGAGGAAACUGGGAAACGAAAGGGAAACCGAUGUGCCGGUUAAUUAAGGGAAACGGGAAGCCGAAGGUUCAAAGGGUUAAACCUUUCGCGACCGUAUAGUUUCGAUUCCCACGCAGUUUCAAAAUUCCUGCGGUGUACAUUACGAUCGGAAGACGUUUAUCUAUUUUGAAGAUCGGAUUUUAAUACGGUCCUAUGAAUUUCCUCUUCUCCCAGUUAGAACGGAGAAAUGGAGCAUUUUAUUUCGACUUUAACACAGAAACUGCCGAGCAAUCAAAUUGGAUUUUCAAACUUUUCUAUAGAAACCCUAAGAGCGCAUUCAUCGAGUCUUCAGUUGACUUACAAAUCAGUUUCCGUACUGACGAAUCUUUAGGAACUUCUCAGAAGCGUGUCUCUUCUACAACCGCGAAAAGAAAUCAGGUCACUCUGAUUUAUCUGUUCUAGAGUUGAAUUAAAUGAGAAGAGUUCUAUAUUUUUAUUCUUCAAUUUAUUCUUCAAUUGAAUUACAGGCGAAUUUACAUUGCAAUAGAGAACGAAGUACAGACAGCUAACUGGAUUCUAUUCGCUCGUCGUUCCCUGGUCGUUUAUUCUCACGCGCGAAAGAAUCUGCUAAACGGCCGGCGUCGAUUCGGAUCGGGCAGCGAUGGGAAACCGAUUCGAAUAUCGUCCCGGGGAUCGUGACGGGUUUCCGGGACCCGUCGCUCCCGUCGCUCCCGUCGCGCGGAUAACGAACAGCGAAUAGCGCGAGAGCCGAAUAGAAGCCACGGUCGUUCCUCCUCCAAUCUCAGGAUCCUUUCACUUUUUAACCCAGUUUCCAUUGUUAGGCCGACAGGCCGGUCGUUCCUAUCACGCCCGGCGACUCCCGAACCGAGCGAGCCGACCGUAAUCAACGCUGCAUCGUCGAGUUUCCUGUCCCACCCCACCCCUGUCCGGCCGUUCGCUUUCUUUUUCGCGGUUUUCCUCGAGGGAACAGGUUCCGCUAUUACAGAACCCUUCGCGGCGGACACUCGCAGCGCGGCAGGGCUGGUCUCUAUCAAAUUCAGCCUCUCGUUAACCAAAUCGGCCGAUCCCGUGAAACAAAAAGCAGAGGAAAGCGACGCGACAGCUGUACAUCGACUUUGAACGUGUCCCUUUAAAUGGAAAAUCAUGGGAACAUUGCAAUCGUUUAUCGAGUAUAUAAAAUGCGUUAUCUUUCAACUAAUUCGCUAAAGGAAUUUCCGUGAUUUCGCGGUGAUAAACUAACGAGAACGUUUCUUUUAAACAUAGCGAGUCAACAGAUUACUCGCGUUAACGAUCGAAUUCGUUCGUAUUCAAAAAGGGAGCCGAUUCGCCGGAUAAAUAAUUCAAUGACCGUUUGCCGUUUCGACGUCGCGCGCGAGGCGCGAUUCGAAGUUUACAAAACACUCGGAGGAAAGCAAUUAGUCGCGUUCCAGCGAAUUUCCUCGCCGCGGCCGUGAGGGAGCGGGCAGAGGACGGAGAAUCGCGCGAUUUUUCCACGGCGCAACCUCCAGCCGGCGAGUUUUGCUCGUGUUUCGUGGUCGUUAGCCAAGAAUCCGCGAGGCGGCUCGCGAGAUGACGAACGGCGGGAAUGAUUAAUAUAAAUCCUUGACGCGCCUUCGCGAUUCCGCCAGCGCGCCUUCGUUCCUCGCGAGAGAGGCUACCUGUCUCUCGGCCGUCGGUGUGUCGUGGGUGUGUCUUCGUGUUCGUUCCCGUGAUUCACCUUACGCGUGUCCUUUUAUCGUCGAAAAAACCUCGGGAACGGCCGGGCAAGAACGUUCGCCGUGGAAUCGCGCUCGUAAAACGUGCUCCGUAUUACGCGACGCGUGAGAUUGCCUUCUCCUUGAUCCGCGCGACCGAUGUUCCAGUCCGAACGGGCUCAGAUAAGAACUCCUGCCGCCAUUCGUCGCCUUUGUAUUUCAAUUUUCCGAGCUACCGCCUGCCACCGAAUGGCUCCGCUUUGCGAGAAAACUUGGGAAAGCCGAGGGAAACGUUUCUGGAAUCGUGGAAAUAGAUGUCGUAAUUAUUUCCGAUUCAUUGGGAGAAGUAGAGUUUGCUGCUUUCAUAACUUUGACGAGAUAAUCGAAGAUAUCAAUGAAAAGCAGAAUUUUAUUAGACCUCUGCAUUCGAGAGGUGACUCGGACACUUGAUGUAGCAACGCUAUAGAGUCUUAUAUAUAAUAUUAACCCUUUGCACUCGAAACAUUGAACGUCUUCCGAAGAGACGUAGAUGAUGAUUCACAAAAAAAUCAAGGAACAAACGUAUUUGCUUUUAAUAUUUCGCACAGCGUUACAAAGUUUACUAUUAAACAUUUAAGUUUAUAACUCUAAUCUACCAAAUCGAGUGGUGACUGAGUCACCUCCCGAGUGCAAAGGGUCAAGCUGCAUUUAAUCAUAUGUGUGAACUUUGUUCCUUAACGCAUCUUUUUUCAUCGGCGACUUUCAAAGAACGUCCACAUCUCAUCGAAGAACUUUCGAAAAACGUUGGGGGGCAACGAUUCGAGGUAAUCGUUUAAUCCGUAGUUCAGUAACCUACGGUCAAAGGAUCACGCAGGUAGAGGGGCUCGCGGAAGUGGGGGAAAAAUUGGGAAAACACCGGUCGUUCCUCGCGUGCGAUCCAUUCGCGGGUCGCGUUGGAAAUCCGAAGGUCCGUGGCGGCGGCGUCGGCGGCGGCGAGCGGCAAUUCCGUUGUUUAUCCGCGGCUUUCCCCACUCGUGGCAAGUGUUUUCACCUCUUUAGCCUUUGCCGCGCGUAGUGCCGGGCCAAACAUCGUCAAGAGACAACCGGCGUCGCGACGUUCCAGCCUCCGACCGGCGAGAACAGAGUCUGCCCGUUCCCAACGAACGAUGUC